rnacentral:tmRNA from 1 species
CCCCUUGAGCGGGGGCCUCGCACACCUUAUCUAUGAGGCGUCCGGGCAACCGGACUAUGGGCAUAAACGCGCACGGAAUAAGCGGAUCGGACCCGGGGGCGGUACCCGGCGGCUCCACCAAUCAUCCCUCGUUGGGGGACGGAACGGGGCCGAAACAGGAUCGACGAACGUGUAAAGGUGUUUGCUUUGUCCCGGUGAGGUACCACCGUUAUCGGUCCAAAACGCAUAGUUGCCAACGACAACCGUGCUCCGGCGAUGGCCCUCGCCGCCUAACGGCGGUAGAGACCUGAGCCAAAGUCCUGGGGAAUAAGCCCCUCAGGCGGGGUUCGCAGGCACCUGGCAACAGAAGCCUGCACU